AGUGAACGCUGGCGGUAGGCCUAACACAUGCAAGUCGAACGGCAGCACAGUAAGAGCUUGCUCUUACGGGUGGCGAGUGGCGGACGGGUGAGGAAUACAUCGGAAUCUACUUUUUCGUGGGGGAUAACGUAGGGAAACUUACGCUAAUACAGCAUACGACCUACGGGUGAAAGCAGGGGAUCUUCGGACCUUGCGCGAUUGAAUGAGACGAUGUCGGAUUAGCUAGUUGGCGGGGUAAAGGCCCACCAGGGCGACGAUCCGUAGCUGGUCUGAGAGGAUGAUCAGCCACACUGGAACUGAGACACGGUCCAGACUCCUACGGGAGGCAGCAGUGGGGAAUAUUGGACAAUGGGCGCAAGCCUGAUCCAGCCAUACCGCGUGGGUGAAGAAGGCCUUCGGGUUGUAAAGCCCUUUUGUUGGGAAAGAAAAGCAGCAGGUUAAUACCCCGCUGUUCUGACGGUACCCAAAGAAUAAGCACCGGCUAACUUCGUG
rnacentral:rRNA from 1 species